UCGAUCAGAACAGGGAGAAAAGGGGAUUUAACCCUAGUUCUUGAAAUCAGCCAAAUCAAAGAGUAUUUCAUGGAAAUCGAACUGCAUAGGCUAAGAAUUUCGACCAUCUAAACCAAUCGAUUGAAGUGGCGUGAAGGAAGAAGGUUCCAAUACUAGGAAAUCGGAAGGUUCACAAGAUCGAGGAUGGAAAUCUUGUCAGUUGAUUCAAGUAUGGAUGGCAAACGGGGUAAGAGGAAGCAAUGAGGCAAGCAUGAACAUGAACA